rnacentral:rRNA from 1 species
GAGUUUGAUCCUGGCUCAGGACGAACGCUGGCGGCGUGCUUAACACAUGCAAGUCGAACGAAAAGAGGGAAAGAGCUUGCUCUUUCCGGAAUUGAGUGGCAAACGGGUGAGUAACACGUAAACAACCUGCCUUCAGGAUGGGGACAACAGACGGAAACGACUGCUAAUACCGAAUAAGUUCCAAGAGCCGCAUGGCCCAUGGAAGAAAAGGUGGCCUCUACCUGUAAGCUAUCGCCUGAAGAGGGGUUUGCGUCUGAUUAGCUGGUUGGAGGGGUAACGGCCCACCAAGGCGACGAUCAGUAGCCGGUCUGAGAGGUUGAACGGCCACAUUGGGACUGAGAUACGGCCCAGACUCCUACGGGAGGCAGCAGUGGGGAAUAUUGGGCAAUGGGCGAAAGCCUGACCCAGCAACGCCGCGUGAAGGAUGAAGGCCCUUGGGUCGUAAACUUCUGUUCUAAGGGAAGAUAGUGACGGUACCUUAGGAGCAAGUCCCGGCUAACUACGUGCCAGCCGCCGCGGUAAUAC